UUCAAAGUGAAGGUUUCCCCAGUUCGUAGCAGUUUUAGUCAAGCAAAUGAUCUCCUGUGAGAGAAUAGUCUUAUUCUUCAGUGUUACCCUGGAGAAUUACAUCUAUUUCACCCAUCCUGUGCAUGAGUGUCUGCACUUGCCUAAAAGUGUCUGAACAAACUGACCAAGGAGUACCAUAAUACAACUCCCAUUCAAAGCAGGCCUUUGCCUGUCUGGUA
rnacentral:lncRNA from 1 species